rnacentral:misc_RNA from 1 species
AAACUAUUUCUAAAAUUAUACUCAAUUUUUGCGUAAGAUAUUAAAGAAAUAGUCCAAUAAAAACCAUCUGCGAUAUUCUUAUAUUGUUGCCAAUGUUUCGAUGUAUGACAUCCUUUAUGCUAGAAACAAAAGUUUGUAGGUUUUUUAUUGUAUAUUGUAUAUAAUUUUGGUAUAUACUUUUAGGCGUUAGCAGAAAUAAAGAAUCUACUUGAGAAAAAAAAUAUUUGAAAAAAACGUUACUUAUAUCAGAAAAUUGGAGAAACUGUCGUGCAUAAUACAAAAAAAUCUCGCACUUUUUGUAUCUAUUUACAAACAUAUCGAUGUAAUCACAGCUAUAAUUCAAUCUUUAUAUAACUUAGAAAGAUUUAAAAUUGAUAUAGCACAGCUAACGUAUAAUAUGGAGAUUAAAUCUGGAGUACCAAUACUUAAACUUUUAAAGAUAUGUAAAGAUACACGAGCUGAUACAUUGAUGGAUUACAUGCUACAGUAAUUAUAUAGUAAACAAUUAUACAGUAUAGAGUAUAAAAUUAAUUAAUUAAUUGAAUAAAUGUACUUCUAAUUAUCAA